UAAAAACAAGGUCCAGGCACAUGCCA
rnacentral:piRNA from 1 species